GACGAACGCUGGCGGCGUGCUUAACACAUGCAAGUCGAGCGGAAAGGCCCUUCGGGGUACUCGAGCGGCGAACGGGUGAGUAACACGUGAGUAAUCUGCCCCUAGCUCUGGGAUAGCUCCGGGAAACCGGGAUUAAUACCGGACAUGACUCCUUCGGACAUCUGAGGGAGUGGAAAGAUUUAUCGGCUAGGGAUGAGCUCGCGGCCUAUCAGCUUGUUGGUGGGGUAACGGCCUACCAAGGCGACGACGGGUAGCCGGCCUGAGAGGGCGACCGGCCACACUGGGACUGAGACACGGCCCAGACUCCUACGGGAGGCAGCAGUGGGGAAUAUUGCGCAAUGGGCGAAAGCCUGACGCAGCGACGCCGCGUGGGGGAUGAAGGCCUUCGGGUUGUAAACCCCUUUCGGCAGGGACGAAGCGAAAGUGACGGUACCUGCAGAAGAAGCGCCGGCUAACUACGUGCCAGCAGCCGCGGUAACACGUAGGGCGCAAGCGUUGUCCGGAAUCAUUGGGCGUAAAGAGCUCGUAGGCGGUCCGUUGCGUCCGCUGUGAAAACUCGGGGCUUAACCCCGAGCUUGCAGUGGAUACGGGCAGACUAGAGGUAGGUAGGGGAGAAUGGAAUUCCCGGUGUAGCGGUGAAAUGUGCAGAUAUCUGCAGGAACACCCGUGGCGAAGGCGGUUCUCUGGGCCUUACCUGACGCUGAGGAGCGAAAGCGUGGGUAGCGAACAGGAUUAGAUGCCCUGGUAGUCCACGCCGUAAACGUUGGGCGCUAGGUGUGGGGUCCUUCCACGGACUCCGUGCCGCAGCUAACGCAUUAAGCGCCCCGCCUGGGGAGUACGGCCGCAAGGCUA
rnacentral:rRNA from 1 species